GACGAACGCUGGCGGCGUGCUUAACACAUGCAAGUCGAACGGAAAGGCCCUGCUUUUGUGGGGUGCUCGAGUGGCGAACGGGUGAGUAACACGUGAGUAACCUGCCCUUGACUUUGGGAUAACUUCAGGAAACUGGGGCUAAUACCGGAUAGGAGCUCCUGCUGCAUGGUGGGGGUUGGAAAGUUUCGGCGGUUGGGGAUGGACUCGCGGCUUAUCAGCUUGUUGGUGGGGUAGUGGCUUACCAAGGCUUUGGCGGGUAGCCGGCCUGAGAGGGUGACCGGCGACAUUGGGACUGAGAUACGGCCCAGACUCCUAUGGGAGGCAGCAGUGGGGAAUAUUGCACAAUGGGCGGAAGCCUGAUGCAGCAACGCCGCGUGCGGGAUGACGGCCUUCGGGUUGUAAACCGCAUUCGCCUGUGACGAAGCGUGAGUGACGGUAAUGGGUGAAGAAGCACCGGCUAACUACGUG
rnacentral:rRNA from 1 species